rnacentral:rRNA from 1 species
UAUUGCACAAUGGGCGAAAGCCUGAUGCAGCGACGCCGCGUGAGGGAUGACGGCCUUCGGGUUGUAAACCUCUUUCAGCAGGGACGAAGCGCAAGUGACGGUACCUGCAGAAGAAGCACCGGCUAACUACGUGCCAGCAGCCGCGGUAAUACGUAGGGUGCGAGCGUUGUCCGGAAUUAUUGGGCGUAAAGAGCGCGUAGGCGGGAUGGCAAGUCAGUCGUGAAAUCUCUCGGCUCAACCGAGAAACGUCGGCUGAUACUGCCGUUCUUGAGGGAUGCAGAGGAGACUGGAAUUCCCGGUGUAGCGGUGAAAUGUGUAGAGAUCGGGAGGAACACCGGUGGCGAAGGCGGGUCUCUGGGCAUUUCCUGACGCUGAGGCGCGAAAGCGUGGGGAGCAAAC